rnacentral:snRNA from 1 species
GUGCUCACCUCGGCAGCACAUAUACUAAAAUUGGAACGCUGCAGAGAAGUCGCAUAGCUCCUGUGCAAGGAUGGCACGCCAAAUUUGUGAAGCGUUCCAUACAAAA